UCAGUUCUGCGAAAAGGUCCGAUAUCAGAGAUAAGCUUCUACGCGAUAAAUAGAAACAACGAUCGAAUCAUUAUCAUUCGGAUUUUUACCGCCUUCGCAACACCAGCUGAUUAUAAUAACAAUAGUUUUGCUUUGUUCCUGAAAACUCUGAGCAAUGGCUCCUCCACACGCGCAGCCGUGCGGCCCGUACUGCGCCACGGGACCGGGCAUGUGCGCACCACACUGCUACUUCCGCAACGUCCACGGGCCGGUGAUCCACUCACCGCCGCCGCCACCGCCCCACCAUCACUACCCGCCACCACACUACCCGCCGCAUCACCACCAUCCACCACCUCACCACGUGCAUUACCCGCGACCACCGCACCAUUAUCCCCCUGUUCAUCAGAACCCGUUCGCGUACGGAUCGGAACAUGUACAGCGCUAAUUCGAAAUUCAACACCUACGACCUAAAAUCUGAUGUGAAAAUUAUCAACUACGAAAGAAGACGAACCAAGUUUACAUUAAAGUGAUUUAAUAACAGUGCUUAUAUCUUCAUUACUCGGUUUGUUACAAAAUAACUUUAUUGACCUAUUCUUAUACGGUACUGUGAUAUAAAUAUGGUUGUAAUACUAAGUUGCAAAUUGUACUUUAAGAUCUGCGUAUUUUACAACUGAAAUAAAGUAAUUCAUAGAAGGAUUAUUUAUAUCAAUUUUUAAAAUAAAAUAUUUGGACCUUUGUUACAUAUGUAUAAUGUUGUUUUGAUAAGGUCUUACUCUUAUAUCUGUUGAUUAAUAAAUUAUAUUAAUCUCUA